GACAGAACCCAGAAAAGCUGCAAAUCAUCCCUUGUUUUAACCCCCUCCUCCUCAGUCUUCAUCUGCUCAGAUCCCUCCCUCCUUCUGCUGUGUCUUUUUUUUAUUAUCUUGUUUUGUCUUUGUACCAAAAACCUGGUGUUUAUUUUGGAGCAAUGUCAAUCCUCAUGGCCCCUAUAUCACUCACAAAGAGGGAACAAUCCCACACCGCAAAACUCUCUUUUGCCCCAGACCUCUCCUAUUUGCGCCCCUUCUUUGGUCUAAUCUUUACAUUCCAUUUUUUUGUACAGUAAUUCACCUGCUGCUGACAGAGGGGAAUGAGGAGGUACAUGUUUUUCGGAUUAUUCCUGAUGUGCUGUGAGAAUACUCUAAUCUCUAUUAGAUUUGUCCUGGGAGAGUUUUUGCUUGACUGUGCGGUUUUCAGGGCGCGAGGUUCAUGUUAGGCCUGCAGUGUGGAAAUCUAAGACGGGAACGUGAUCUUAAUACUUCACAGACAGCUUCUUUUAACAGAUUUAACAUAUCACCGGGCUUUAAAAUAUUAACCCCGACUAAAAACACCUUGACACUUUUUAUUCUGUGUUCUUUGAGCUUGUAAAAAAAGAAAUGAACUGCAGUUACUGUGAAUACAGUGAAUUCUCUGUAGUAUCAUCUUCCCUUUUCACCAUAAAUAAUCUAAUUAACUGAUUAGACUUUGUUUUAAAUGUGUAGCGUUGUGUGACAGAUGUCUUUUUAUAAUUGUUAAUUUAUUCAGUUUUUAAUAAAACUUACUUUCUCUCUCUGUCUGUACCGGUUGCUCGUCUUUGUUGCUAUGGAGACGUAAUCAGGCAAUCAGAGAAGAUCUCCUUGUUCUUGAUGUAGCAGCUGCCGUGCUGACGCAGCGACGUCCUGCAGACGGAGCACUCCAGACAGCGCACGUGCCAGAUCAGGAAGUGGAUCAAAUUGAAGGGCUGGCAGCUUUUACUCCGAGGCUUCGUAGGUGCAGUGUGGGGGGAGCGGAGGAGGACGACGACGACGACGAGAGCGCACGCACCCCAAAGAAGAACCGUGGCUCGUC